AUUCCACGGUGAGGAAACUUUCUGAUCAAGUCUUUAAAUCUCUCCCAAGCAUCAUAGAGAGAUUCAUUAUUAAGCUGGUAAAAGUUAUUGAUUUUUAUUCUCAGUUU